rnacentral:ncRNA from 1 species
CAGAGUAAGCAUGCGUGCGUUAAGGAAGCACCUCCUACGGCCAUAGCAUCCGGUGUUUCCUUUAAGUUUCGUGUGAACGGGGAGUUGUCACACGACCGAAAAGUAAUACUUGCGAUACGCUUGCUGCAUCCCGCUG